AUACGGAAGGUCCGGGCGUUAUCCGGAUUUAUUGGGUUUAAAGGGAGCGCAGGCGGAGAUGCAAGCGUGACGUCAAAUUUCGGGGCUCAACCCCGUCUCGCGUCGCGAACUGCGUCCCUUGGUUGCGGGAAGGGGAGGCGGAACUCGUGGUGUAGCGGGGAAAUGCAUAGAUAUCACGAAGAACUCCGAUCGCGAAGGCAGCCUUCCGGCCCGUCAACGACGCUCAUGCUCGAAGGUGCGGGAAUCAAACAGGAUUAGAUACCCUGGUAGUCCGCACGGUAAACGAUGAUUACCCGCUGUCGGCGGCAGACAGUCGGCGGCCAAGCGAAAGCGAUAAGUAAUCCACCUGGGGAGUACGCCGGCAACGGUGAAACUCAAAUGAAUUGACGGGG
rnacentral:rRNA from 1 species